CUUUUUUUUUAAUUCACAUGACAAGAAUGCGUGUGAAAAACUGAUCCUUUAUUUUCAUUUUGCCAAUUGAAUAGGACAUGAAACAAGCAAGCAUAGUUUAUGCUUUGUAGAGAGAACACACUAACGACAAUUCAAAGAAAUACACACGCACCAAGUGCCAGAGAAAGAAUUACCUUUUUCGCUAUAACUGAUGGUUUCUAUCCACCGCCCAUCGCUAUAUCCUAUCCACACACACACUCUCUCUCUUUCUCUCUCUUCUCAUUUCUUUAACCAUGGACAGCAGCAGUGCUAAUCUAUAACAGAAAUGUCUCUUUUUGUCACGUUGAACUGCAGCAACAGCGUACCAACAGCAGCCAUAAAAUGGCAGUGGCGCCGGGCAUCCACACGGCACAGCAACAACUAGCAAUGUCCGACAACAGCAGCUAGCAGUGACCGGCAUCAACCUUGAGCGACAGGAAGAGAGGGAAGCAGAAGUAGCUGGGUCGCACGCACUAGCAGAAAAAGAGACAUGUCUAGCGGCAACCACUGGCAUCAAUCCAUCUACUCCUGUAGUUAUCAACAGGACAAACCAUAAAGGUUCAGUUCAAACAAACAUCAAAACGUCAGUUUCAGUCAAAACAAUAUUAAGCAGAUUUGGGAGACUGAGGAGCGGCAGCGCAACGUUUGUGUACAGAUCCAUAGUGCAUAGCUUCCACAAAAUCUGUACGAAAAUUAUCUCCAACGAAGCAGGGGACCAGGGGACUAGCCAGUCGCAGGAGAUGCAUCAAUUGCAGGUUUGAAGCACACAAAUGGAAGAAUCUCAAUAGAGACUAUCAGUCCAAGUAUGGUUGCAGCGAGAGCACUGCCCGAUGCAGCUGGAAUGGCUGCACACGCACGAGGAUCCGGCCCCGAUCCAAAGGGAGUGACCUAGGAGGAGGCACACGACAGUGUGUGGCCUAGCGGCAGCGCGCAGGUGUCCCUGGACAGCCGAAUUGGAAAGAUGUAGGGACGGCGGUGGAGGUUGACCGAGGUGACGCACUGACGACGGAUCUGGCACCACCUCUGGCCGGUGAACUUUGUGCGGCGGCGCAAUCGACCUGCAGGAGCAUGGUGCGGUGACCUGCAUGGGAUCUCCCAUGGGUAGGUGGUCGCCAGGGACACCCAAUACUAAAGACGAGGUGUGCAGGCGGCGGAGCAUGGGCAGGUGAAAGAAGCAGCGGCUCCUCUGGCCGGAGAGAGCCACGGCGGCCGCACAAUGAAGAGGUGGUCGCCAGGGACACCCGAGGCCUCCGUGAAGCGCCAGUGGCGGUGCGCAUGGCCGGCUUUGGUAGGAUGAGGAUGGCGGCGGGGCCGCGGGAGGAGGCCGCCGGCGGGUUGCGGGAGGAGGCCGGCAGCAGAUCCUCUUGAGGAGGGCGGCGAGGGGUCGCUGAAGGAGGUCAGCGACGGGUCACGGGAGGAGGCCGGCGAUGGGUCAAAGGAGGAGGUCGGCGUCGGGUCACAGGAGGAGGCUGGCGACGGGUCGCGGGAGGAACUAUUCUGAUAUAUAUAGCAUAUAUAUAUCAACAGUCUGGAACGCAUGAAAACCUGGACUGUGUAUACCUUGAACUAUGUCAAUGGCUUGAGCUUGUACUCCCAAGUCCCAACUGUUUCACCAUCUAAAUCUGGUCAACAUUAUCAGCAUGAUCAGCGUUUA